rnacentral:rRNA from 1 species
UACGGUGGGAGCAAGCGUUGUUCGGAUUUACUGGGCGUAAAGGGCGCGUAGGCGGUCAGCACAAGUCAGUUGUGAAAUCUCCGGGCUUAACCCGGAAAGGUCAACUGAUACUGUGCGACUAGAGUGCGGAAGGGGCAACUGGAAUUCUCGGUGUAGCGGUGAAAUGCGUAGAUAUCGAGAGGAACACCUGCGGCGAAGGCGGGUUGCUGGGCCGACACUGACGCUGAUGCGCGAAAGCCAGGGGAGCGAACGGG